GAGCUAGGGUUUUACACUUUGGCUGGUUCCGCUCGCGGCGGAGAUGUCGGCGUAUGACGAGGUGGAGAUCGAGGACAUGGAGUGGAACGCGGAGCUGGGGGUGUAUACGUACCGUGCCCCUGCGGCGACCUGUUCCAGAUAACGCUCGCCGACCUCCGCUCGGGGAGGAGAUUGCGCGGUGCCCCUCCUGCUCCCUCUCCAUCACCGUCGUCUACAACGAGGAGGAACUCACCGACGGCAAGGAGCCGCCGCCCAAGCCGGCGCCGCGCCCCGUUGCCGUUGCCUAAGGCGCAGGAUGAAAUCAGGUUCAAAGCUGGAAACCACACAGGAGCAUUUGUACUUCUAAGAUGAGAAAGUAGAGUCGUAUUGCCUUUUGGCUUUUGAAGUCACUCAUGUACGGUGUUAC